AUAUCUUUCUCGGCCUUCUGGCUUAGAUCAAGUAUAAUAUAUGUUCUUGUCAGUUUAAUAUUUGAUACGUGAGUCAUGAUAUUAAAUUAAUUUUUUUUACUUGGGAGUUCUCACCACCCACACGAUAUUAAAUUAACUUUUUUCACGGGGGUGUUGCAGUGUUCUCACGCGUCGCCUUUGUGUCUGGCGCGCCCCCA